CUCCUAUCAGCUUCCUGCUGCCCUUUCGCCUCUGGCCUGUAACGUGGUGGUUGCGUCUUGCGGUGCUCCGUACGUGUGCGGAGUAGCCAGCUGUGGAAUUCAGGCACAUGUGAGGGUGUCUUGAAAAUAGAGCACAUCUUCACCGUUUUAAAGAGAAACACUGGCAGGUGGACAAUGCACGUCGACUUGUCAGCAAAGGAACUUAUGCCCUGGUGAGUCUAAGAAGAAAUGUAAGAAGACAUUUAUUUGGGGUCAAGUGGUUCACAUCUGUAAUCCUAGCACAUCCAAAGGAUAAUCAUUUGAAGCCAACUCAAACAGAAGUCCUCAAGAUUCUCAUCUCCAAAACACCUACCAAAGAUCAGCCUGGAAACAUGGGUCAGGUGGUAGAGUGCAAGCCAAGCAAGUACAAAACCGUAUUAGCAAAAAUAUUAACACAAAACACCCAAAGUAGCUUUAAAGUCAUCACUACCUUUUCUCUAUCAUUCUUUUCCCAUACUGUGCUGUGAUGGAAACAAUUAGAUUGGCAGGAUAUACAAGCUGCCGAGCUGUCAUAGACAGAAGUUAACGAAAGAACCCUCAUUUUGUGAGGGGGGAAAAUAUUAAAGGUAAGUUGGGGACUAACUAAUAAGUACUAUUCUCAGUGCCCCCACCCCCUUUUUUGGUUACUGGUUAUGUAGGGAACUCAGAAGCUGAGCAUUAAAACUAGGAAAGGGUUAAGAGGUUGGGCUGCUACCUCACCAGUGCUCAGAAGACUGACAACUGGACCCUAUGAAAGUUGAGAUAAAUGUCUAAGUCACAGCCCUGUUUGGUGUCAGUUAACAGUGGGUACACAAACUCUGUCUUUUUAUGUCAAUGACUGUAAUAUCAAAAUACGUUAAGACCUUGUUUUCUACAUGUAUAGCCUGUUUUGAUCUAUAGUGACCUUCCUUGUACUAAACCAAAUAAAUAAGUUUGCCUGGUA